AGAGUUUGAUCAUGGCUCAGAUUGAACGCUGGCGGCAGGCCUAACACAUGCAAGUCGAGCGGUAGCACAGAGAGCUUGCUCUCGGGUGACGAGCGGCGGACGGGUGAGUAAUGUCUGGGAAACUGCCUGAUGGAGGGGGAUAACUACUGGAAACGGUAGCUAAUACCGCAUAAUGUCGCAAGACCAAAGUGGGGGACCUUCGGGCCUCAUGCCAUCAGAUGUGCCCAGAUGGGAUUAGCUAGUAGGUGGGGUAACGGCUCACCUAGGCGACGAUCCCUAGCUGGUCUGAGAGGAUGACCAGCCACACUGGAACUGAGACACGGUCCAGACUCCUACGGGAGGCAGCAGUGGGGAAUAUUGCACAAUGGGCGCAAGCCUGAUGCAGCCAUGCCGCGUGUGUGAAGAAGGCCUUCGGGUUGUAAAGCACUUUCAGCGGGGAGGAAGGCGUUAAGGUUAAUAACCUUGGCGAUUGACGUUACCCGCAGAAGAAGCACCGGCUAACUCCGUGCCAGCAGCCGCGGUAAUACGGAGGGUGCAAGCGUUAAUCGGAAUUACUGGGCGUAAAGCGCACGCAGGCGGUCUGUCAAGUCGGAUGUGAAAUCCCCGGGCUCAACCUGGGAACUGCAUUCGAAACUGGCAGGCUAGAGUCUUGUAGAGGGGGGUAGAAUUCCAGGUGUAGCGGUGAAAUGCGUAGAGAUCUGGAGGAAUACCGGUGGCGAAGGCGGCCCCCUGGACAAAGACUGACGCUCAGGUGCGAAAGCGUGGGGAGCAAACAGGAUUAGAUACCCUGGUAGUCCACGCCGUAAACGAUGUCGAUUUGGAGGUUGUGCCCUUGAGGCGUGGCUUCCGGAGCUAACGCGUUAAAUCGACCGCCUGGGGAGUACGGCCGCAAGGUUAAAACUCAAAUGAAUUGACGGGGGCCCGCACAAGCGGUGGAGCAUGUGGUUUAAUUCGAUGCAACGCGAAGAACCUUACCUGGUCUUGACAUCCACAGAACUUUCCAGAGAUGGUUUGGUGCCUUCGGGAACUGUGAGACAGGUGCUGCAUGGCUGUCGUCAGCUCGUGUUGUGAAAUGUUGGGUUAAGUCCCGCAACGAGCGCAACCCUUAUCCUUUGUUGCCAGCGGUCCGGCCGGGAACUCAAAGGAGACUGCCAGUGAUAAACUGGAGGAAGGUGGGGAUGACGUCAAGUCAUCAUGGCCCUUACGACCAGGGCUACACACGUGCUACAAUGGCAUAUACAAAGAGAAGCGACCUCGCGAGAGCAAGCGGACCUCAUAAAGUAUGUCGUAGUCCGGAUUGGAGUCUGCAACUCGACUCCAUGAAGUCGGAAUCGCUAGUAAUCGUAGAUCAGAAUGCUACGGUGAAUACGUUCCCGGGCCUUGUACACACCGCCCGUCACACCAUGGGAGUGGGUUGCAAAAGAAGUAGGUAGCUUAACCUUCGGGAGGGCGCUUACCACUUUGUGAUUCAUGACUGGGGUGAAGUCGUAACAAGGUAACCGUAGGGGAACCUGCGGUUGGAUCACCU
rnacentral:rRNA from 1 species